CUACGGGCGGCACCAGUAAGGAAUAUUGCGCAAUGGAGGCAACUCUGACGCAGCCAUGCCGCGUGCAGGAAGAAGGCCUUAUGGGUCGUAAACUGCUUUUAUUUAGGAAUAAACCCCCGAACGUGUUCGGGGCUGAAGGUACUAAACGAAUAAGCACCGGCUAACUCCGUGCCAGCAGCCGCGGUAAUACGGAGGGUGCAAGCGUUAUCCGGAUUUAUUGGGUUUAAAGGGUGCGCAGGCGGGCUAUUAAGUCAGUGGUGAAAUCCCGGGGCUCAACUCCGGAACUGCCAUUGAUACUGAUAGUCUUGAGUUUGGUUGAAGUGGGCGGAAUGUAGCAUGUAGCGGUGAAAUGCAUAGAUAUGCUACAGAACACCAAUCGCGAAGGCAGCUCACUAAGCCAAAACUGACGCUCAUGCACGAAAGCGUGGGGAUCAAACAGGAUUAGAUACCCUGGUAGUC
rnacentral:rRNA from 1 species